AGUGAACGCUGGCGGUAGGCCUAACACAUGCAAGUCGAACGGCAGCACAGUAAGAGCUUGCUCUUACGGGUGGCGAGUGGCGGACGGGUGAGGAAUACAUCGGAAUCUACUUUUUCGUGGGGGAUAACGUAGGGAAACUUACGCUAAUACCGCAUACGACCUACGGGUGAAAGCAGGGGAUCUUCGGACCUUGCGCGAUUGAAUGAGCCGAUGUCGGAUUAGCUAGUUGGCGGGGUAAAGGCCCACCAAGGCGACGAUCCGUAGCUGGUCUGAGAGGAUGAUCAGCCACACUGGAGCUGAGACACGGUCCAGACUCCUACGGGAGGCAGCAGUGGGGAAUAUUAGACAAUGGGCGCAAGCCUGAUCCAGCCGUACCGCGUGGGUGAAGAAGGCCUUCGGGUUGUAAAGCCCUUUUGUUGGGAAAGAAAAGCAGCAGGUUAAUACCCCGCUGUUCUGACGGUACCCAAAGAAUAAGCACCGGCUAACUUCGUG
rnacentral:rRNA from 1 species